rnacentral:rRNA from 1 species
AUGGGCGGAAGCCUGAUCCAGCCAUGCCGCGUGAAGGACUAAGGCCCUAUGGGUCGUAAACUUCUUUUGACACAGAGCAAUAAGGGACACGUGUGUUCCGAUGAGAGUAUGCGUCGAAUAAGCAUCGGCUAACUCCGUGCCAGCAGCCGCGGUAAUACGGAGGAUGCGAGCGUUAUCCGGAUUUAUUGGGUUUAAAGGGUGCGUAGGCUGUUGGAUAAGUCAGCGGUGAAAUCACCACGCUUAACGUGUUGUGUGCCGUUGAAACUGUCCAGCUUGAAUGCGCUCGUCGUGAGAGGAAUGUGUGGUGUAGCGGUGAAAUGCAUAGAUAUCACACAGAACACCGAUUGCGAAGGCAUCUCACGAGGGCGCUAUUGACGCUGAUGCACGAAAGCGCGGGUAUCGAACAGGAUUAGAUACCCUGGUAGUCCGCGCUGUAAACGAUGAUGACUAACCGUGGGUCUGAAUGGAUCAGUGGUCAAGCGAAAGCGUUAAGUCAUCCACCUGGGGAGUACGGCCGCAAGGCUGAAACUCAAAGGAAUUGACGGGGGCCCGCACAAGCGAGGACAUGUGGUUUAAUUCGAUGAUACGCGAGAACCUACCGGCUCGACGCGAGAU